UGUCGGCGGUCCAGAAAGGGAAAAAUAAAAAAUGAAACAAAAAAUAAAAGCCAACCAUAUCUACGAAGCGAAACUGGUGAAGCAAACUCAAUAUCAGUGGAAAGGGUCUUGUUCUCUGGGAAGUUCCGUGAAGAAGAAGGCAGAGAGCACGGAAGAAAUUUCGCGCGAGCGAUGACUCUGAAGUCAGCUAGUCACCAAAGUGAUCCUCCAUGCAAUUGAGUUAUGUAACUUUGUGGUGGCCGUGGCGCCUACGUGGUUCUACUUUAUCCGAAUCUCAAACCUCACACUCACUAUUAUUUGUUUUUUUUAUAAAUUAAUUUAUUUUUAAUAUCAUAUUCUUGAUUAAUUAUCCAUAUGAAUGUGACUUUACUUUCUAGUCUUCUUUUC